AAUAUACCCAAUUUUAUGUGAACAAACAAUUAUGCACUCGAUCAAAAUUGAAUUAAAACAAAUAAAAUUAUAAGAUAACCCCAAAAAAAUCUAAUAUACCCUAGUCCACUCCCCUCCCAUAAUCCUCGUUUCUUUCUUUCUUUAUUUCCCUCUCUCUCUCUAGAUCGUCGUCGCUUCUUCCUCCAAAUCGGAAUUUAUGUCGUGUCUCC
rnacentral:lncRNA from 1 species